GUCGCUGCGUGACGCCGGCUGCAGCGCCGGUGUGUACGCAUAUCGGCUCACGUAGUCUAAGCGGCACGCCGUCGUGGAUCGCACGUGCCGUUUCUUUCCACCUCGUCCCUUCCGCCUUGUCGUUCGAUCAUUCGAUUUAUUGUUUUUUAUUAUAAGCAAAUGAAUGUGUUUUGUUUCAAUCGGUUUACAGCACUACUACUUUAUUUAUUAUCAUUACAAUAUUAUAAAUAUUAUUUACUAUUGUCCAGGGCUUAAGAAAUGGCUUUAGAUAUUUUUCAGAGAAUAAUUAAUUUAAUAAUUUUUGACGACAAAAUAGUUUUUACUUGGUGCACAUCAAUCGACCACAAAUCGUAUUUCCUCAGUAGAACACAUUAUUAAUAAUAUGUUUAAUAUUAUAUUAACAAAUAAUUUUUGAUAGAAAUGUAUUUUAGCUUCGCUGCAAAGCUGAGAAAGUAUUGUCUGGACCCACGAUAUCUUAUAAUCGCUUCGAUGCGAAUCUGUGGAUAGUAGAUUUAAACCAGUACAGUCAAAACGAUACCUUCGUCCUUCUCAGCUCUGCGUCGAAGCUAAAAUUAUUACUUCUAUUAUUUUUGGUUGUUGAUAAAGCUUUCAAAGCAGCUCUAAAAUUUUUCGGCCUUGAACCGGGAAGUACACUUACUACGGCUCAAUUAUUGGAAAUUGUGGGACGCCAUAAUGCAAUGAAUGUAUUUGAAUAUCGCAAAGAAAACAAAUUGCCGCCACUGUAUAUAAACUAUGUAGAUAAAGUUCUACUUAAUGAUAUUGUGAGAUACAUUUGCAAAAAACAGAAGCCUGCAAAAUAAAACCAUUUUAAUAAGAAAUUAUGAUUCAGUACGUUAUGUAUUG